rnacentral:tRNA from 1 species
CCCCGGUGACUCUGAGAGUAAAGAAUCUGCUUACAAUGCAGGAGACCUGGGUUUGAUUCCUGGAUUGGGAA